GUGCUCACUUCGGCAGCACAUAUACUAAAGUUGGAAUGAUACAGAGCAGAUUAGAAUGGCCCCUGCGCAAGGAUGACAUGAAAAUUUGUGAAACAUUCCAUAUUUUU